CCUACGGGAGGCAGCAGUGGGGAAUAUUGGACAAUGGGCGAAAGCCUGAUCCAGCCAUGCCGCGUGUGUGAAGAAGGCCUUCAGGUUGUAAAGCACUUUCAGUGGGGAAGAAAGCCUUGGGUCUAAUACCCUCGAGGAAGGACAUCACCCACAGAAGAAGCACCGGCUAACUCCGUGCCAGCAGCCGCGGUAAUACGGAGGGUGCGAGCGUUAAUCGGAAUUACUGGGCGUAAAGCGCGCGUAGGCGGUCUGAUAAGCCGGUUGUGAAAGCCCCGGGCUCAACCUGGGAACGGCAUCCGGAACUGUCAGGCUAGAGUGCAGGAGAGGAAGGUAGAAUUCCCGGUGUAGCGGUGAAAUGCGUAGAGAUCGGGAGGAAUACCAGUGGCGAAGGCGGCCUCCUGGACUGACACUGACGCUGAGGUGCGAAAGCGUGGGUAGCAAACAGGAUUAGAUACCCUAGUAGUC
rnacentral:rRNA from 1 species